GUGCUUGUGUCAGCAGCACAUGUGCUAAAAUUGGAACAAUACAGAGUAGCAUGGCCCCUGUGCAAGGAUGACACACAAAUUCAUGAAGCAUUCCAUAUUUUU